UCCAAUCGAGCAAGAAGUUUGAUCAGUGGUGGUUCCUGUUCACAACUUACUGGACUUAAAGGAUCUUAAAGGGAUUGCAAAUGUCUUGGUGUCAGAUACCACAAGAAAACAUAAUCCAUGCAACAGGGGUUUGGGAAUGUCUACAGUCCUGGUUAACACAAAUCCCAUGGAGUGCAUGUUCCUCAGCCAUGGACACCCCCAGUCUUCUCUCAGGAAUGCAUCCUCUUCAUUGAUGCGCUACAGUAGAGAGACUGAGCACUGCGUUGUCCUCCCCAGGUAUGGUGGAACUCUUUGCACUGGCUAUGAAGACAUGAAGGACUGAACUGUGUGUGCCAUCCUAGCUCCUCCAGGAGGCAGCUCAGUGCCAAUUCUUUCCUCCUCUCGAAAGCUGGACAUACCUGCCGAACCAUCACACUCAGCUCCACCAACAGCUCACCCAUCCACUCAUCAGGAAGCAGCCGCCUGGCCAAUCAAGCUUCAGGCACCCACUUGAUGUGCGUAGGAGGUCCGUUGCUUUUGGGCAGGUCCUCACUGUUGGCCAUUGUUGCUGUCCUUCCACUGGGCUCUGCUUGUGAGCCUCGUUAUGCUGCUUCUUCUUCCUUGGGCUUUGGCUGGGCUUAAUCUUCUCCGUCAGUCGCUCUAUGAAGCACCAUUCCUCUCCAGGCUUCCGAAGGAUGCUAUCCCAUUUCUGAUACCAUUGUGGUGUCUGUAUAGAGAGAGAUACAAGAAUGGACAUGAUUGUGCUGCAAGUAGUACUCUUUUAUUAAAACAUCAACACAUACAUGAGCUCAAAAUGGCAGAGGAGGUCACCACCAGCCAUAAACUCCCACAUCAUGAUUAACACACAAACCUACACAACUAAACUGAUACCCCACCAUAGAAUAACAAAGAUAACACAUGCACACACUUUAAACCAAAGAACGGCAGCAGGAAACAAUAUUCAAAGCCCUUUUUAUGGGGAACAUGCAGCUCCUAUUAGCCUCUUCACAGGGCCUUCUGCAUUGCCAUGCCUCCAGAGCCUGUACAGCAGCAUGAGCCAGAAGUGGAACAUUUUUUUUCUAUAAGGAGAAAGCUUAUGUUUUAAAUGCAUUGCAUAUUAAAUGCAUUUAAAUUGCACUUUUAGAAACAUAUCAAAGAAGUAUUGUAAUUCUUGCUACAACAUUGGAUACACAAUAAUAUUAUGACUGUAUUUAUGUUGUAUUACAGUUUUUUGGUACAAGAGAAAGUAAUAGUUACAUUACAUCACUUUUCACAGUUUGAAUACAGCAACUGCCCUUUUUCAUUUUGUGAAAAGUUUAUGAUGAAUGUACAAAUGUUCCAAAUGCGCCUUAAAAGUUAAGAAUAUUUUGCAUUUUCCUAUAAAAUUAUCAUUUUGGCAAGACGUCUUUUUUGGGAGAGGGACAAUUUGAAAACAUCUGCUCUAUGAAUUAUUUUUUGUGCUGGAUGGACCAAUAGAAAUGUCCAAAAUUUCUUUUAAAAAAGUAUUACAUUAUCAUAUAUUAAUGUUAAGACACUUUGGGGAUACAAUGCCACUAACAGAAAUAAAAUUUAUAACACAUAACAGAUAUAACAACUA